rnacentral:rRNA from 1 species
CGGAGGAUGCAAGCGUUAUCCGGAUUCAUUGGGUUUAAAGGGUGCGUAGGCGGCCUUUUAAGUCAGUGGUGAAAUCCUGCCGCUUAACGGUAGAAUUGCCAUUGAUACUGAAAGGCUUGAGUCCAGUUGAGGUAAGCGGAAUGUGUAGUGUAGCGGUGAAAUGCUUAGAUAUUACACAGAACACCAAUUGCGAAGGCAGCUUACUAAACUGUAACUGACGCUGAUGCACGAAAGCGUGGGGAGCGAACAGGAUUAGAUACCCUGGUAGUCCACGCCGUAAACGAUGUUCACUCGCUGUUUGCGAUACACAGCAAGCGGCCAAGCGAAAGCAUUAAGUGAACCACCUGGGGAGUACGAUCGCAAGGUUG